UGUUCGGGCGGAGCGCGUGGGGUCCUCUCUCUCUCUCUCUCUCUCUGCAAGAGGCGGGAGGCAGGUCCUCUAAGGCGGAGCUGAAGGAUCCCUAUUCACUCGGGGUAGCCUAAUCCUGACCAGGGGUUUCAGGAUGGUCACCUCCGGCCCGAGAGAGGAGGAGUCGUCCUCCCGGACAAAAAGAAAAAGCGGACCGGCCAGGUGCAUCCAGCGACAGAUCAUCUGUAAAAGUGAGAAUCCACCAGACAGUGGGGUUCACAGGGGACACGGAAGGAGACUCCCCGAAGAAUUCGAGGACGGUGAACACAUUCGGGCAUCCCCUGGGCAACGGCUGCGCCCUGUCAGCUGAUCCUUCUACUCCGGAAGCACCACUGAAUUGCUCCUGACACCGGCAAAGAAGAAGCACAACAAAGGCAGUUCACAAUUUCACCUAAUUACUGGUGUUCAUUUAUAAAUGGUGUUCAUUUUA